rnacentral:rRNA from 1 species
GGGGAAACCCUGACGGUGCGACGCCGCGUGAACGAAGAAGGCCUGACGGUUGUAAAGUUCUUUUCUCGAUGAAGAAUAAGGGGAGGAGUGGAACGCCUUCCCGAUGACGUUAGUCGAGGAAUAAGCCCCGGCCAAUUACGUGCCAGCAGCCGCGGUAAUACGUAUGGGGCGACCGUUGUUCGGAAUCAUUGGGCGUAAAGGGCGCGCAGGCGGCCUUGCAAGCUUGGUGUCAAAGGCUCUGGCUCAACCAGGGUUGUGCGCUGAGAACUGCAAGGCUCGAGUUGUUGAGGGGAAGCUGGAAUUCCUGGUGUAGGGGUGAAAUCUGUAGAUAUCAGGAAGAACACCGGUGGCGAAGGCGAGCUUCUGGCGAAUAACUGACGCUGAGGCGCGAAAGCGUGGGGAGCGAACAGGAUUAGAUACCCUGGUAGUCCACGCCGUAAACGAUGUGCACUAGGCGUAGGGUCCAUGAGGACUCUGUGCCGUAGCUAACGUGUUAAGUGCACCGCCUGGGGAGUAUGCUCGCAAGGGUGAAACUCAAAGGAAUUGACGGGGGCCCGCACAAGCGGUGGAGCAUGUGGUUUAAUUCGAUGAUACGCGAGGAACCUUACCAGGGUUUGACAUGUGCACGAACGCUCAAGAGAUUGAGUGGUCCUUCGGGACGUGUACACAGGUGUUGCAUGGCCGUCGUCAGCUCGUGUCGUGAGAUGUUGGGUUAAGUCCCGCAACGAGCGCAACCCUUACCGUCUGUUGCCAACAGGUAAUGCUGGGAACUCGGACGGAACUGCCGGUGACAAACCGGAGGAAGGUGGGGAUGACGUCAGGUCCUCAUGACCCCUAUGUCCUGGGCUACACACGUGCUACAAUGGCCGGCACAGCGCGUCGCGAGGCGGCAACGUUAAGCAAAUCGCUAAAAGCCGGUCUCAGUUCGGAUUGGAGUCUGAAACUCGACUCCAUGAAGGUGGAAUCGCUAGUAAUCGCGCAUCAGAACGGCGCGGUGAAUCC